rnacentral:tRNA from 1 species
GGAGAGGUGCCGGAGCGGCCGAACGGGGCUGACUCGAAAUCAGUUGUCCCCUCCGGGGGACCGGGGGUUCGAAUCCCUCCCUCUCCGCCA